UACGUAGGGUGCAAGCGUUAAUCGGAAUUACUGGGCGUAAAGGGCUCGUAGGCGGCCAACUAAGUCAGACGUGAAAUCCCCGAGCUCAACUCGGGAACUGCGUCCGAUACUGGCGGGCUUGAAUCCGGGAGAGGGAUGCGGAAUUCCAGGUGUAGCGGUGAAAUGCGUAGAUAUCUGGAGGAACACCGGUGGCGAAGGCGGCAUCCUGGACCGGCAUUGACGCUGAGGCGCGAAAGCUAGGGGAGCAAACGGG
rnacentral:rRNA from 1 species